ACCCAGUGCUCAUCCCGUCGAGUCUGCUCUUCACCCCCCAAGCCAGACUCGGCUCAGGACGCCUCUCCAAGCAGCACGAGAACCUAGGCAAGCAAAGGACGCCGCCUCGCGGAGAUGCUCAAGCGACAGCAGCCUUGGAGACCUCUGUCCUGUGUCCCUUUAUCCUUUCAUCUACGUCACUAGGGGCCACUGGUGACUUGGUCUUCACGGGAAAGCAAGCGUGCCUCUUUCUCCCAAACCCAGAAUGUAGGGGCCCUAAUUUCUAGGCACGACCGGAGAUGUGACAUUAUCCGAUGUCCUCUCUUACCCUUUCCAGCAGCAGAGAUCCACAAUCAGAAACUCAUUGUCUUCCGAUGUGAAGCCAAACCUUGAAAAAUGAGGAAAAAAAAAAGUGAGGAAAAGGUUUUGAUGCAUUUAUAAGGGAAAACAGUGCACACUAUGAAACACCUUCUUCAGAAUCAUAAGCGUGACAAGUAAAUGCCCGACUUACCCCCAUGGUUUCAUUGGACUCAAAACAAUCCAUGUAGUUGGCUCCCCAAAGACUCCACGAAGAAAGGAACUUGAGCAGGUUAAUUUUGACUGGCGUCUCCACAAAAACAAUAUAGUUGGGAGUCAAACCAAAACUGUUUAGAGACACAAGGAGACUUGUGAACGGGAGGGGCUGAUUCUCAAACCACAAAGAAAUCUGUGCACGGUGGGUAGGAAUCAACGGUGCCCACGUGAAAUUAAUUACAUUUAAAUCUAGGUUUCUGCAAGAAAAUGUCGUGAUCGGGAUUGGUAUCAAAGGUAGGCAAAGCAGAUCUUUAAACUUGAGUUUUCCUGAAGAUUCACAGCAGGGCCUUCAAGUUACCUAUGGACGUACGAUGGCUUGAAUCGGUCGCUGCAGGGGAAUUGUACGACGACC